rnacentral:tRNA from 7 species
GGACGGUUAGCUCAGCUGGGAGAGCACCUGCCUUACAAGCAGGGGGUCGCAGGUUCGAGCCCUGCACCGUCCACCA